rnacentral:rRNA from 1 species
GCUUUACACAUGCAAGUCGAACGGUAACAGGGAGCUUGCUCCGCUGACGAGUGGCGAACGGGUGAGUAAUAUAUCGGAACGUACCCAAGAGUGGGGGAUAACGUAGCGAAAGUUACGCUAAUACCGCAUACGAUCUAUGGAUGAAAGCAGGGGACCUUCGGGCCUUGUGCUCCUGGAGCGGCCGAUAUCUGAUUAGCUAGUUGGUGAGGUAAAGGCUCACCAAGGCGACGAUCAGUAGCUGGUCUGAGAGGACGACCAGCCACACUGGAACUGAGACACGGUCCAGACUCCUACGGGAGGCAGCAGUGGGGAAUUUUGGACAAUGGGCGCAAGCCUGAUCCAGCAAUGCCGCGUGAGUGAAGAAGGCCUUCGGGUUGUAAAGCUCUUUUGUCAGGGAAGAAACGGCUGUGGCUAAUAUCCACGGCUAAUGACGGUACCUGAAGAAUAAGCACCGGCUAACUACGUGCCAGCAGCCGCGGUAAUACGUAGGGUGCAACCGUUAAUCGGAAUUACUGGGCGUAAAGCGUGCGCAGGCGGUUUUGUAAGUCUGUCGUGAAAUCCCCGGGCUCAACCUGGGAAUUGCGAUGGAGACUGCAAGGCUAGAAUCUGGCAGAGGGGGGUAGAAUUCCACGUGUAGCAGUGAAAUGCGUAGAGAUGUGGAGGAACACCGAUGGCGAAGGCAGCCCCCUGGGUCAAGAUUGACGCUCAUGCACGAAAGCGUGGGGAGCAAACAGGAUUAGAUACCCUGGUAGUCCACGCCCUAAACGAUGUCUACUAGUUGUCGGGUUUUAAUUAACUUGGUAACGCAGCUAACGCGUGAAGUAGACCGCCUGGGGAGUACGGUCGCAAGAUUAAAACUCAAAGGAAUUGACGGGGACCCGCACAAGCGGUGGAUGAUGUGGAUUAAUUCGAUGC